UCCUACGGGAGGCAGCAGUGGGGAAUAAAGGACAAUGGGGGCAACCCUGAUCCAGCCAUGCCGCGUGUGUGAAGAAGGCCCUCGGGUUGUAAAGCACUUUCAGCGAGGAAGAACGCCUAGCGGUUAACACCCGCUAGGAAAGACAUCACUCGCAGAAGAAGCACCGGCUAACUCCGUGCCAGCAGCCGCGGUAAUACGGAGGGUGCAAGCGUUAAUCGGAAUUACUGGGCGUAAAGCGCGCGUAGGUGGCUUGAUAAGCCGGUUGUGAAAGCCCCGGGCUCAACCUGGGAACGGCAUCCGGAACUGUCAAGCUAGAGUGCAGGAGAGGAAGGUAGAAUUCCCGGUGUAUCGGUGCCAUGCGUAGAGAUCGGGAGGAAUUUCAAUGGUUAAGGCGGCCUUCUGGACUGACACUGAGGGUGAGGUGCGAAAGCGUGGGUAGCAAACAGGAUUAGAUACCCUGGUAGUCCACGCCGUAAACGAUGUCGACCAGCCGUUGGGUGCCUAGCGCACUUUGUGGCGAAGUUAACGCGAUAAGUCGACCGCCUGGGGAGUACGGCCGCAAGGUUAAAACUCAAAUGAAUUGACGG
rnacentral:rRNA from 1 species